rnacentral:rRNA from 1 species
UAGGGAAUCUUCGGCAAUGGGGGGAACCCUGACCGAGCAACGCCGCGUGAGUGAAGAAGGUUUUCGGAUCGUAAAGCUCUGUUGUUAAGGAAGAACGAGUGUGAGAAUGGAAAGUUCAUGCUGUGACGGUACUUAACCAGAAAGGGACGGCUAACUACGUGCCAGCAGCCGCGGUAAUACGUAGGUCCCGGGCGUUGUCCGGAUUUAUUGGGCGUAAAGCGAGCGCAGGCGGUUAGAAAAGUCUGAAGUGAAAGGCAGUGGCUCAACCAUUGUAAGCUUUGGAAACUGUUUAACUUGAGUGCAGAAGGGGAGAGUGGAAUUCCAUGUGUAGCGGUAAAAUGCGUAGAUAUAUGGAGAAACACCAGUGGCGAAGGCGACUUUCUGGUCUGUAACUGACGCUGAUGUGCGAAAGCGUGGGGAUCAAACAGG